rnacentral:rRNA from 1 species
AUUGAACGCUGGCGGCAGGCCUAACACAUGCAAGUCGAGCGGUAACAGGGGUAGCUUGCUACCCGCUGACGAGCGGCGGACGGGUGAGUAAUGUAUAGGAAUCUGCCCGAUAGUGGGGGAUAACCUGGGGAAACCCAGGCUAAUACCGCAUACGUCCUACGGGAGAAAGGGGGCUUCGGCUCCCGCUAUCGGAUGAGCCUAUGUCGGAUUAGCUAGUUGGUGAGGUAAAGGCUCACCAAGGCGACGAUCCGUAGCUGGUCUGAGAGGAUGAUCAGCCACAUCGGGACUGAGACACGGCCCGAACUCCUACGGGAGGCAGCAGUGGGGAAUAUUGGACAAUGGGGGGAACCCUGAUCCAGCCAUGCCGCGUGUGUGAAGAAGGCCCUCGGGUUGUAAAGCACUUUCAGUGAGGAAGAACGCCUGGUGGUUAAUACCCAUCAGGAAAGACAUCACUCACAGAAGAAGCACCGGCUAACUCCGUGCCAGCAGCCGCGGUAAUACGGAGGGUGCGAGCGUUAAUCGGAAUUACUGGGCGUAAAGCGCGCGUAGGUGGCUUGAUAAGCCGGUUGUGAAAGCCCCGGGCUCAACCUGGGAACGGCAUCCGGAACUGUCAAGCUAGAGUGCAGGAGAGGAAGGUAGAAUUCCCGGUGUAGCGGUGAAAUGCGUAGAGAUCGGGAGGAAUACC